GUGCUGAGGCUCAAGCACAGGCCGGACACGUUGUUAUUUUGACGAUGGGAAAGUUUGAUUGAAGUAGACAAACUUUGCACCAACUUUUUGAGUGGGACCUUAGGCCGGAAGGGGUGUGGCCGGAAAAGAGGGCGGGUGAAUGACGCGAUUCCGGUUUCCGGCCAUUGGUGCCAACCGCGUCGGGGGUAUAUGGCGGGACUGCCGCACCUGCCGCUCACUUUAAUCGGGCCAGUAGUCCGCUCUUACGCCGUCUUCUCGAAAGGACUGAGCCGGACUCUCGUCACUUUCUUCAACCUGGCCUGGAGGCUCCGCCUCAGGUUCCCCUACCUCUACUUGAUCGCUUCCCUGAUGCUGAAUGUCCGCUUGCAGGUCCAUAUUGAGAUUCACUAGUUCUGAGGUAUUUUUGAUGGAGAUGAUCUAAUGCUGGAACUACAAAUUUAAUGCUUAAUCAAUAAACACUGCCAGCUAAUGCCAACAUUUCAGAAUAUGCAGAGUGUGGAAGAAUUGAAGGAUAUUGGCCGUGCAUUGUAUCUUGCAAUUAAAGAUGGUGGUGAAGGCUCUUCAUCCAAUGAAAGCGGAGAUUAUGGACAUGGGAAUGAUGGUUACGAUCAUGAUACAACUAAUGAUGGUCACAUAUUUCGCCCACAGCCACAGGAAUUCAACUCUGUCUUUGGAGCAGCCAUCCCUAUAAGAGUCUGCCCUGAUGUUAUGCUGAAGCAUGUUCUGUUACUCCAAGUUGUCAGAAAUGAGCCUGUUCCUUUCAGAAAGUGGCACAUUUUCCAUCAUUGUUUUGAAUCAGUUUUUCAGACAGUCCAUUGCCCUCUAGAUUUGAAGAGGGGAAAGAGAAAUCCGGAUGCCAUAUUUACCCAAAAUGCUCUGAUAAUGAUGGUUGACUGUCUACAAAGAGCCAUUCGGUCUUUAAAGAUCUUUGGAAUGUGGGUUUACACACUAGAAAUGUUGGUUCACUUUACAUAUUUGUGGUUGUUUGAGAGACCAGCUGACUGCAAAUCAAAUUGGCCACAAUUCAAGAAUCUGACAGACAAAUUAAGUUUCUCACUUACAUGUGGAUUGGAUGUGAGGAAGAAGUGGCCUUGGGAUCUGACUGGCAUCUUUUUUAUGUUUUGCAAAUAUCCGAUACACCUUGUGCAAACUAGCUGACCCUUUGUGUUCCUUGAGCUGCUGACUUUGGAGUGCAUUCUUGAAUAAGAAAAGCUGUCGCCUGAUUUGAAAUGUUCACCUUGCAAUGCAGUGGACAUUCGUAAUAAGGGCUUUUGUUCUAGCUGUUGUGUGGCAUGCUGUGCUUAAAGGUUUGUUGGUUUUGUUAUGGGAGUCAAGCUUGCAAAGAGAUAACCACAGCACCAGGGUGAAGGAUCUGAGAAUUCGAAGGAAGAGUGAAAGAUAAUCAAUGCUUUUAAAUUGUGGUUUUCUGUAUGGAUAUUUUUCAGUAUGAUUGGCUGCUUACCCAGCUUGAUUACAGAAUUUGUUCCCUGGAGGUCCCUUUUGACUUAGUGCCAGAUUCAAAUUUAUAUUGGGGAAAGGAAAUCCCUGACAUGGAGCUUGCCAGAUUGUGCAGCUUCCUUCGAGAUCAGCAACAAAUGCUAUCACUUUACUACUCACUGUAAAAAUCCAGGCACCUUUGAGUUUUGUUCUCCUUGUGAGAACUGCCUGGCCAAUUUAAAAUCGUGAUUGCUUGCGACAGUUUUACAAAAAUCAUGUCAAUGGAAGCAGCUGUGCACAUGCUUCAUUGCCUCAGUCCCGAUGAUAGCACUGAAAUAAAGAAUCACUUCCUAUUCCCUAAUACUGCAGCAGUACCUUUAUUAGCAUAACAGUUUUGGAUAAAUUAAUACAGUUCCACAUUCUGUUAUUGCGUUUGCAUUCAAAUUUACUGUUUAAGUUAUCUUUCAAUUUUCAUUCCUUUGCAGACAAUUGAGUUUUAUUUACCGAAAACAUUUUGAAACCACACUAACAGCGUGUAUAUUGACUUGCUGCACAAAUGCAUUGUGUGAUUAACACAACACAACACAACACUAAUGGUAUUUUAAGGGCUCAGUGUGAAGCUGGUUGAUGACUAGAUUGUGUUUGUGUUUUUCUUUUUAAACCUGAUACAUGGGGGAUAAAAAUAAAAAUGCCAAAUGCAAGAAAUGUGGAAUAGAAACUAACUGGUAAGAGUGCUAAGUGACAGCAGGGAAAGCAGAUUAAACACUUCCAGGUUGAAUCUUGUUGAAAUAAUGGUCAAAGUUUCUCUUUGCAGCUUGUCUGUUUACCGCCCCUACCUAACAAAGCAUCUCCACUCCUCCCUCUCCUACACACGGUCUCUUGCACUUGCUUGUUCGAAGGCUGCUGUCAUAGUUCUGUCUCCUUUCUCCAAUUCUGAGCCAAGUUGCUGGCUACAAAGGAUUGGGGCAGGGAAUAUGUGUGCAGAAUUGGAAAGUGCUGUUUGUCACUUCCAGCCUUUCCUUCUGUCUGCCUGCUGUUUGUAGUAAGGGGCUUCAGAUUCAGUGUGCUGAGCAGCUUGAGAGGUUCAAGAUUUCAACUCCCAUUGGGCCUUUUAUACAGGCAAUUUUAAAUUUUAAUAAAUUGUCCUGGUAGACAAAAUCUUGUUGUCGGGCCAACGUUUCCACAUGGUAUUUCACCGUCUUUAAAACACACUUUCCACUUUAUGGUAAUUCGUUUGGAGAACUAACUACCAACACCUUCAUUUUUUUUUUCAGUUACGUAUUUGUUAGUGUUUAUUUUAUGUGUGAACAAGCAUUGGUUUUUGUUUAUAAUUCCUUCACUUACAUCUCAUCCUCUGUAAGGACACAUAGUAUCACAGCUGCAGGAAUCCUGACCAGGCUGCUCUUCUCAUUGGUGAGCUUAUUGCCCAUUUUACCAUAAAAUCUGAUUAUAUGAACUUAAGAAAUGGGAACAGGACAACACUAUGUAGCCUCUUGAACCCACUGUAGCCAAGGCAGAAGCCUGGCACACUUUCCCUAUCUCCUUUUAUCUUGUUUAUUGGCCAAACAAUGUCUUGAUCUGGAGUGUACUCAAUGACUGAACAUCUCUAAUACUUUUGGAUGAGAAAUUACAAAAAAAAACCCUUUGAGUGAAGAAAUUUCUCUUCUUUCGAUCCUAAAUUGCCAUUUAUCCUUAUCUUGAGAUGAUACCCUAAUUCUAGAUAUUUACAGCCAUGAAAGACAGCUGCUCAAUAUCCACUCUAUCAAACCCUCAAAGAAUUUUAGUUUCAUUGAGGUCACGCUAACUCUCCUAAAUCCCUGAGAGUAUAGGCUUAUUCUAUCCUAACUCUCUUUGGGACAGUUCACUUGUUCCAGGAAUCAGUCUGGUAACUCAUCACUACACCACCUCUGAGGCAAGUAUGUCCUUUGUGUAAGGAGACAUACUAUACAUGGCACUUCAAGUAUGGUCCCACCAAAGACCUAGAAUAAUAUUCUUACCUGCUCCCACUUCUGUUUUGGUUUGAUGGAUGGUGAAUUGACAUGCAGAGGGAAUCCUUCUCUGUAUCUUGACUUCAUUUGUUCCUGGGAUGAAGGACUUAAGAGAGGCUGAACCGAUUAGACUCUAGAAGAAUGAGGUGCUCUUAUUGAAAUGCAUAAGACUGAGAGGGUACUGGAUUGGAUGGAUGCACAGAGGGGUUCUCCUCAUGUGGGAGAGACUAAGACAAAGGGAUUGGUUAAGAACAAAUUAGAGAUGAGAAACCCCUUCUCUAAGGGUUUAAAGUGUGGCAUUCUCUUCUCCAAGAGAUGGUGGAAACUGGGCCUUCAAAUUUAUUCAAGGUUGAGUUAGAUUUUGGAUCAGUGAAGAAACCAAGGGCAAUGGAUGACAGGCAAAGUGGAUCUGAGACCACGAUCAAAUCAGCCAAGGUCUUAUUGAAUUGUGGAACAGGCUCAAAGGGCUGAAUGGCCUGCUCUGACUCCUAUGUUCCUCUUUUUGAAACAUUGCUAAGCGAGUCAGUGCAGGGAUCCUUGUCAGUAUUGAUUAUUGACAUUGAUGCCAAUUUUACAACUGACUCACCUUAGUUCUAGUUCUGUAGUACGUUCAUAUUAUGAACAUGGACAUGUAAGUUUCAUGUAAAGAAUUGGUAUUUCUAUGGAAACUAAUUAUGAAAUAAAAGAUUUUAACUUUGAAAUUAAACCUUUAAUUAAAGAGGAAGAAUGCCAGCACAACUGCUUCAUCUUUGUUCACUGCUAUUAACUUACUCUUACCAUCUUUUCAGCUUUCUUUGGAUAAAACAAAUGCACACUUUCUUGACAAACAUUUACUAACAUUGAAAGAUUAGGCAAAACAGUGAAAUAACUUUUUAGUUUGGCAAAAUUUAAGCUUCAGGUGAAUUGGUAGAAGAACUCAGGAGAUAAUCAGAGGAGAAUGUGCCAUAGUAAUUUCUGCUAUGAAGUCAUAAAUUUGUCUCUGUAUUUAUGAUGGAAGUUGUGGAUAUAAACUUGUCACACAGAUAUAAGCCCUUUGUCCAGUGAUGCUUAUGUGCAUGCCCUAAGUGGGAAGAAUGACAUAGUUUACAUAAAUUGUUUUCAUGAGAAUGUGGCCAUAGGAACUUAAAUUGAAAGGUUAAUAGGAAAUAGAUGCAAAUGCAAAAUUUUUAAUAGAGCAGAUAAUACAACAAGAUUUUGUUUUGGUUAUUUAUUCUCUUUUCUUCAUUGGGGAUAUGUUCUUAGGGUACUAGCAGUGCACUCUUUAACGUGUGAGCUCAGAGUAAAGCAACGCAACAAAAAUGAGGGCAUCAAUUUUAAACCCCAGUGCUGUCGUGACAAGCAUUCACACACAUACUAUACUACAAAGUUCAACAGGUGGGAAUUGGAGUGGGUAGCAGGCCACCCCUCCCCAUCCUCUCCCCUUCCAGCUGAAGUCCAAAAUGCUAAAGAUAAUCCUCACUUUAAUUGAGAUCCACUAACACCAUGGAUUGAAUAAAGGCCGAGCCUCAGUCAGGCUUUGCAUUGCUGAGGUGCAAGUAUAGUUUUUGUCAAACAUUUCCUUCAUAUGUUUUUGGAUUGCCAAAUAUUGUAUACUUUAUUAUCGUCCCUUUAAGGGAUUUAAGUGACAAAAGAUUUGUUUGGAAAUCUGAUUUAUGUAUAAUUUUAUUCAUAAUGUAAUGUACACAAUUGAUUUUAGAAUAACUGACUAUUAGGUAGGGAACAUUUUCCCUCUAUUUAAAAAUGUAUGUAAUAAAAUGUGCCUGUUUUCCUAAA